AUUCCAGGAACAGAUUAAAUAUAAGAAAGUUAAAAGUUUAAAACUAAAAACCACUUUUAACCAAAACAUCCUUUUUAAGUCCACCUGAAAUAGUUUUCAUCCCUACAACAAUGAUUAGGCGAGGAUCCAAUCCAGUUAAAUUCCACUGACCAU